rnacentral:lncRNA from 12 species
GUUCUUUGGUACAUGGUGUGACCUGUACUUGACAACUCCUAGCAAAUUAUCGUCUCGCAUUUUAAUGAAGUACAACAUUUAUAGAAGGAGAUGGACAGAGCCAGAAGGAAGAAGAAGGCUGUGUGGAGAGCAGACUGGCUGGUGUGACUGUGCAGCUGUCAUAAACCAACGGAGGCACACAGGAGCAGACAACCUUUGGAGCUCAGGCAACACCUGAAGACAGGGGGUGGAACUCCUGCUGUAAAGGAGCUUGUCCUCAUCAUCUGGCCACCUCUGUGGUAAAGACACAUGGAUUACUGAAGAAUACUGCAAGUACACAGUAUGUAAAUUUUGUUUUACCAUUACAUGAAGUUUUGGUGG